AGAAUGCCGGCUUUCCUUGCGGCUUCCAAGAGAGAUCAUCUCAAGGUGCACUAAUCAGAUCGCGACAGACAGCAGUUUGACCCUCCGACACGCUUGAAGCACGUGGAUGGAAUAAAACGGGACAAGAUGCAAAAAAAAA